AUAGAGUGCUUCUAAAGCUGUAGUAAGGUUGGCCAUUUCAGAGAAGCUAUUAUGUUUCCUCUUCUUGUAUAAACGGUAAGAUUGAGCCCAGAUACCACAGCCUACUAGAAAUAUUCUCCAGUAUAUUAAAAAUUGUCCUUGAAACAAUAAAAUACUUUCAAAUUGAGAUAAUAAAUGAAAUAUUGGCAAGAAUACUGAUAGCUGUACUUAUUGUUCUUGGAAAGGACAAGAGAGGAUAAGGACAGCUAUUUCCUUAUUGUUCUGUGCAGAAGGUUAAUUUUGUCUAAACCAAAGCUUAGCCAUUUAUCCGAGUCUACAAAGGUACUUCUGACUCUCAUCAUCUACUUCUAGUACCUUCCCUUACCUAUCCAUACCCAUUGGCAGCAUGGUUAUCCACCAUCCCACAGAGCACUCAGAAAGCCCCUGCACCCUUGAAAAUAUACCAAAUCAAUAGUAUGUAUUUUACAUGUUACGAGACCAAAUGACUCAAGCAUCAACCCCUUUGCUUUUCGUAGGUCCGCCAAAAUACACUUCAGUCAUACAAAAGUGAAAAUCCUUUCAAAAAGCUCAGGGCCACAAUGGUGAUUCCUGUUCCUGUAUUUUCCAGUUCCAUCAUGUAAAGAAGAGUGACAAACUGCUUCAGAAGUGAGUUUUUUUCACAGCAUGCUCUGACAGUGGACCUUGUCCUAGCCUACUGCCUUCUGCUGUUUCUCCAGCAAAAAAGGGACUUCACAUUGAUCAGGAAAGGCAACUGGGAUGUCACCCACCACAGGAAAAAUCUCCUUCAUGCUCUUUGUGUAGCUGUUUUAGGCAUGGUCUCUGUCUGCAGUGUGGAAAUUUAGGCAAUGAAUUCCACCAUGACAACAAGUGGUUAUUACUGUGUGCAAUAAUAAAAUGGCUUUCU